GAUGAACGCUGGCGGCGUGCCUAAUACAUGCAAGUCGAGCGAACAGACGAUGCGCUUGCUCCUCUCACGUUAGCAGCGGACGGGUGAGUAACACGUGGAUUACCUACCUCUAAGACUUGGAUAACUUCGGGAAACCGGAGCUACUACCGGAUAAUAUAUUUAACCUCAUGGUUCAAUAGUGAUAUACGUUUUUGCUGUCACUUCUAGCUGUCUUCUCGCCGCAUUAGCGAGUUGGUAAGGUAACGGCUUACCAUGGCAACGAUGCGUGGCCGACCUGAGAGGGGGAACGGCGACUCAGAAAGUGAAAGGCGGUACAGACACCUACGGGAGGCAGAAGUAGGGAAGCUACGGAAAAGGGCGGAAGAUUGAAGGAGCGACGCAGCGCGAAUGAUGAAGGGCUGCGGAGCGGAAGACGCUGUUAUGAGUGAAGACCAAAUGUGUAAGUAACGAUGCACGUCGUGACGGUACCUAGUCAGAAAGCAACGGCUAACUACGUG
rnacentral:rRNA from 1 species